rnacentral:lncRNA from 1 species
GUGUCUCUACCUAAAACCGGGAGGAUAAGGGCUGCCCACCUGGAAGAGGAAUCCCUGCUAAAUUAGCUCUUUCUUGGUUUUAAAGAGGAAAGACAUUUUUAAGGAGACAUUCCAGAGGAAGACAAUCAUGAUGAUAAAAG